rnacentral:rRNA from 1 species
CCUACGGGGGGCAGCAGUGGGGAAUAUUGCGCAAUGGGCGAAAGCCUGAUGCAGCGACGCCGCGUGAGGGAUGAAGGUCUUCGGAUCGUAAACCUCUGUCAGCAGGGAAGAACGGUCACGGUGCUAAUCAGCAGUGAAUGGACGGUACCGGCAAAGGAAGCACCGGCUAACUCCGUGCCAGCAGCCGCGGUAAUACGGCGGGUGCGAGCGUUAAUCGGAAUUACUGGGCGGAAAGCGCUCGUAGGCGGUAUGUCAAGUCAAGGGUGAAAUCCCCGCGCUCAACGUGGGAACUUCCUUUGAAACUGGCAACCUGGAGUGUGUUAGCGGAUAGUGGCAUUCCAGGUGUAGGCGU